AUAGUGAUAUUAAGCAAAACCCAAAAAGCAGUCUCAGUUCGGAUUGAAGGCUGAAAUUCGCCUUCAUGAAGCCGGAAUUGUUAGUAAUGGCAGGUCAGCAUACUGCCGUGAAUACGUUCCCGGGCCUUGUACACACCGCCCGUCACACCAUGAGAGUUGGGGAUACCCGAAGCCUGUGAGCUAACAGUAAUGAAGCAGCAGUCGAAGGUAGAAUCAAUGAUUGGGGUGAAGUCGUAACAAGGUAUC
rnacentral:rRNA from 1 species